GGGAGAAGAACAAGAACAGGGUUUCGAUUUCGUUCAGUAAGAAAAAAAAUUGGAUCCUGGAGGGCAUUCACUGCGUUUGGAGCUACACAAGAAUUGUUAUACUCGAAUGCUUGUUCGUCGGAGUGAAAUGGAGGUGGUAGGGAAUGAGAGUGAAGAACCUCAUAUGAAGAGAGCAAAGCAGAAUGAGAACAAUGAAGACAGGCUCAGUGAUUUUCCUGAUAGUGUUCUCAUUCACUUGAUGUCAUUUGUACCAACAAAAGAUGCUGUUCGAACUUGCGUGUUGUCGACAAGAUGGAAGGACCUCUGGAAGCGUCUUCCUACGCUCAUUUUACAUUCCUCAGAUUUUGGAUUAAAGUCUCUUUUCAACAAAUUUGUGCCUAAGGUUCUAUCUUUUCGUGAUGGCUCUGUUCCAAUCCACAAUGUUGACUUCAAUUAUAAGGGUCGUGUUUCUCCCCCACUUGUGACAAGGGUUUUGAGAUAUGCAGCAUCCCAUAAUGUCCAGCAAUUAAAACUCUCUGUCAAUUGUGAUGUCGAAGUUUUACCUUACUUAUUCUGCCAGACUUUAACAUCUCUUGAUAUUUCAGUUUUUGGGGGAUUUAAUCCUUCAUUUCCUAAUUCACUGCAUUUCACAGCUUUAACAAGUUUGCGUCUCCGUAACUUUUCCUUUGGUGACAGUGAAUAGUGGCACCCUUCUCGUCAUGUACUAAUUUGAAGACUUUGGUCAUUGAAAACUGUGUUAUAAGGGAUACACAAACCCUAUGCAUUUCAAAUGCUACUCUUGUCAACUUGACCAUACAUGCUUACAAAGCUUACAAAAUUAUGUUAUCAACUCCCAAUCUUUGUUCUUUUGCUUUCACGGGUGUUAUUGCUCAUCAAAUCUCUGCAAGCAAUCUUUCUUUUAUCAAAGAAGUAAGUAUUGAUGCCGAACAAUGGUCGCCAUCGCGUGACUUGCACUCAGCUGAUAUCCUAGUUAGCUGGUUGCAAUUAUUUGCUAAUGUUAGAUUGUUGACAAUCUCAGCAAAAGCUCUUGAGGUUCUUUUCUCAAUAUCAGAUUUAUUGAAUACGGAAGCCAUUUGCUUGGGUAACUUAAAGAUAUUGGAAGUGAAACUGUACACAUCUCUAUAUAAAAAAGCUCGGAAAGCUUUGAAAUCAAGGAAUGCAGAAAUAAAACCACCUUUUCCUUUUGAAGUAGCGAAGUACCUGAUUCGAAGCUCCCCAGGUUCAAGGAUUACCCUUGCUGAAUGUGAACUGUUACUUUAAGUCUUUGGAUGGAGAUUCAUUCCCCGAAUGUUGUUAGUUAUUACUUAUUACCUUUUAACUUUUUAAUGUUUAAGAUGUUGAUUGUUCUUUGCUCCAUGUAUC